rnacentral:rRNA from 1 species
GACUAUGAUCAAUAGCUGAUUUGAGAGGAUGAUCAGCCACAUUGGGACUGAGACACGGCCCAAACUCCUACGGGAGGCAGCAGUGGGGAAUCUUGCACAAUGGAGGAAACUCUGAUGCAGCGAUGCCGCGUGAGUGAAGAAGGCCUUUGGGUUGUAAAGCUCUUUCGUCGGGGAAGAAAA